AGAGUUUGAUCCUGGCUCAGGAUGAACGCUGGCGGCGUGCCUAACACAUGCAAGUCGAACGGAAUUUACAUGAAGCCUAGCGAUUGUAAAUUUAGUGGCGGACGGGUGAGUAACGCGUGGGUAACCUGCCUUGUACUGGGGGACAACAGUUGGAAACGACUGCUAAUACCGCAUAAGCGCACAGCUUCGCAUGAAGCAGUGUGAAAAACUCCGGUGGUACAAGAUGGACCCGCGUCUGAUUAGCUGGUUGGUGAGGUAACGGCCCACCAAGGCGACGAUCAGUAGCCGGCCUGAGAGGGUGAACGGCCACAUUGGGACUGAGACACGGCCCAAACUCCUACGGGAGGCAGCAGUGGGGAAUAUUGCACAAUGGGGGAAACCCUGAUGCAGCAACGCCGCGUGAGUGAAGAAGUAUUUCGGUAUGUAAAGCUCUAUCAGCAGGAAAGAAAAUGACGGUACCUGACUAAGAAGCCCCGGCUAACUACGUGCCAGCAGCCGCGGUAAUACGUAGGGGGCAAGCGUUAUCCGGAUUUACUGGGUGUAAAGGGAGCGUAGACGGUCAAGCAAGUCAGAAGUGAAAGGCUGGGGCUCAACCCCGGGACUGCUUUGGAAACUGUUUGACUAGAGUGCUGGAGAGGUAAGCGGAAUUCCUAGUGUAGCGGUGAAAUGCGUAGAUAUUAGGAGGAACACCAGUGGCGAAGGCGGCUUACUGGACAGUAACUGACGUUGAGGCUCGAAAGCGUGGGGAGCAAACAGGAUUAGAUACCCUGGUAGUCCACGCCGUAAACGAUGAUUACUAGGUGUUGGUGGCUCUCUUGAAGCAGCAUAUUUUUUCGCGGGAGCAGGUGGAUAUAUUCUUGAUUUUUAUUAUAAGCUGUGCAGUUUGUCAUCACAUUUUAAAUAUGCAGUCAUUGUUACGGGAAUUCCUGAUACUGCAAGGGUGUUUUUAUAUUAUGCAGUUUUGAUUAUAUGGAUAUGUGCACAUAUUAUAUUGAUAAAUAAGAAGAUUGAUGCUGUAUGUUUUGUGUUAUUAGUGUGCGUGCUGACAGGGCUGCGUUACAAUAUUAAUUCAGACAUGAAGAUUGCCAUGCU
rnacentral:rRNA from 1 species